AUGAAUUUGGAACCUUCAAGUUUUUCCCCAAAUCUUUUUUCUUCGCCUUUAAUUCACAGCUGAAAUGGAAGUUAGGAAACGAUUAAAUGAUGGCUAGAAUGGGCAGGGAAGAGAUUUGGAGUUUCAAAUGGAUGCUGAAGAUGCCAUGGAUAGGGGGGGACAGCACCCAGCAGGGUCCUUCAUUUCUUGCUCCAAUUCUUGUAUUCUAAAUGG
rnacentral:misc_RNA from 1 species